GAUCCCCAUGCCCUUUCAAUCCCCUUUCUCCAUAACCUUUGCCACUUUCUAACAUUCCCUAUGUGUGAGUUCUGAGGGUUCCCUGGCUUGUUUAUUGUUUGUUUACCCCACUCCCAUCCCUGCUUCCCACCUACCUCACUCACUGCCAUGGUUCCAGCCCCACCACAGCUCCUGGACUUAGAAAAUGAUAUCUACAUGCUCAAUGCAUGCAUGAGUCAGACACAGAGGACUUGACUGCGCUUGGCUCUCAGGUACAUGCUGGACACAAAUCUCCCCACACAACUGCUCAUUCCCCUCUUCUUGGCAUUCCUCUCCCACAGCCAAAGAGCUACUGUGGAUCUUCAAUGUGCAGGAGACACUCAGGCCCCUUCCAAGGAGGCCAGAGCCUCAUGAAGAAGACAUAGAGCCAAACCAGGAAGGGCCACAAGGCACAGGGUUUCUUCAGAAUAGCGAGGUUCCACGGGACUUAGCAGAAAUCAGAUUUCAGUGGGAUGACAGCGCACACUCCGCCCUCUCACUUGACGAGGCCCCUACCAACAGGCCCACAGAGAAGAAGUACAGGAAUCCAGGCCAGGUGAGGAAGGAGGGAGUCUUCCCAGCUGUGAAUGACCAGGAGAAACGGCAGGGAAAGCGUCGGUCACCUUUGGGUGGUGCUGGAAAGGAAGGGUGACGAUGGGAAAGAGAGGAAAGCAGAAGAAGAGAAUGAAAGGGAGGUAGAGCCUGGAGAGAGGGAGGAAGGAGCUGAAAAAACCGAGGAAAGGUCUCCACAGACAAGAGUGACGUCGGGAGGAUGACCCUGGGCACCAGUUAGACCUGCUGACCUCACACGCUCUCCAGGCACCAAACUGGGUUCCCAGCCGACCUGGCUGUGAUCGGGCGAGUGGACCAGGCAGUGUCACUUCCCCGCUACCCUGCUUCAGCAUCCAUUCACUGACAGCACGGCUGCCUCAGAUGCUGCUGGAGUCAAGGAGCCCGUCCC
rnacentral:lncRNA from 1 species